ensembl:lncRNA
CAGCUCUAGAUCAAGCUGAUGUUGAAAGGUUGACAUUAAAUGACCAAAAAAACACAUAAUGGCAAGUUGAGAGAGAGACAGCAGAAGAAAGGAAGUUUAUGAUUAUGAACGGAGCUGCUAUAACGAUCCUUGCAAGUCUUCUUGAAGAUUGGCCCUGAGCUAACAUCCAUGCCCAUCUUCCUCUACUUUACGUGUGGGAUGCCUGCCACAGCAUGGCUUGAUAAGCUGUGCGUAGAUCUGCACCCAGGAUCCGAACCAGCAAACCCCAGGCAGCUGAAGCAGAGUGUGUGAACUUAACUGCUUUGUCACCUGGCCGGCCCCUCAAUGACAGGUUGAUGCCAAGACCAGAACGUUUCCAGAACAAUUCCCUUCAUCAUAUCCUCUCCGUGGAAGCAGAUAUAUCUCCAGGGGAGGAAAAAGUUUUCCUUGACUCUAUUAGAGUCCCUGGCUGGUUCUGAAAAUUAACUGACAAAGACAGAUCAACAGGAGAAAAACAUACUCUAAGUUUUUCGUGACACAGGAGCCCUCAUAAAGAAAUGAAGACCCAAAGCAUCAGUUAGACCUGAGAAUUUUACAUGAGGUUUGGUGAAGAAUGCACAAGCAUGGAGGAAUCUGAUAGGUUAAGGAGUAUAGGUAAUUGCAGGAAAUUGGUGGAAAGUCAGCAAGAUCUGUUAGGAUUCUUGUCAGUGUACCCUUGUCUUCAGAGAUAAGGAUGUUCAUUUCCUCCAGUUUUAAGGAGGGUACCUCUCGCUUGGGAGUUUUAUGACCUGUUUCAGUGAAGAAGGGGGCCAGUCAGAGUGAUCUUCCUGCUUCUGCCAUUUUCUGAAACUCCUUCAGCUUAAGAUAUUCAGUACGCCAAGGUGCCACAUUUUGGAGUAGUGUGUCCAGAACCCCAUAACAUUAAAGAGAAGAUUCUGUUAUAAUGAAAAAUCUACUUAUCAUAUUACCAAAUGUGAUGGAGGAUUAAAGCAUGGGAGACCAGUGGGUGACCAAAGAAUUGAGAAGGAGGGCGCUUCUCAGGACCAAGAGCUGCGAAACGAUGGUUCCUUCUUACAGAACCACGGUGUGGUUUUAUGUUGCAGUGAACUCCUGUCUUCCAUUUGACAUACCACUCACCUCAGGUGCCCUGAACAGUCGCUUGUGCCACGGCUGCAGCAACCACUUCACAAAGGUGAAGUCGCACCAUGUCUCUGCUAAGCAGACUUCUCGCUUCUUGUCUCCAGGCCUCUUCUGCACCGCAGUGGGGGGCAACCAGCCUUUGUGCAAGCCCAGCCCAGACCCCCAUAAUGGACCAAUGAAUAUGGAUAUGGACCAAUGAUGUCUGCUGGUGUUAAAUAUCUGUGUAUUUAUUCCUGACCCAUGGGGUCAGGAGACAAUGGGAAAUGUGCCCCUGCCCCGCCCCAUUCUUUUCCCCUUGCAGACAGUUCUGAGACACAUUUCAUAAGAUUCCUCAGAAGGUCCAACAGUCAGUGUUCAGUUUGAUAGAACAUUGUUGAACUGGCUUUUCUUCCUUCUCCUUUGCUCCCGUUGUCCUGCAUGCCUCCUCCCUCAGAUCAGAUGACCAUGCACAUUAAUGACAUGCAAGCCUUUGUCUCAGUAGAACCAAGAGUAGGACACUAACUAGCUCAAGGACACUGGCUUCUGUGCAAAUCUAGGAUCAAUGAAGGCUCAGGGCAGAAACCCUGCCCCAGUCACUGCUAGGCACUGCCUUAGUAAGUGUUGUUACAGCUUUCAAUUUUUCUGUACUAUGAGAAGCACAUUAAGGAAUUGGCUCCUCUUUGGCACUCUGUAUUUUCUCAUACAAUAGUGGGUCUUUUCCUGUAUUCUGAUUAACAUGUAUCAUUGUUUCUGUCUUUUUUUCUGAGUGAACACCUUUUGUUUCUUUACGAAAAGGCUUCCAUGUUACAACUUUUGAAAAAACACAUGUUAGUCUACAUUGUAGGAUUUUGAUUUUGAUUUUUAAAGUUACCUAUAUAGUAGUGUAUUACACAUGCGCUUUUCUAAAGGCUUCCUAUCUAGGGAUUUUUACACAAAUUUUAUAACAGUCUAUCCAUAGAGACUAACAUAUUAUAGUGUACAGAAAACAAGACUGAGAAUGUGCACCAUCCACAUAUUUUAGAGCAUGACAGGCUCAUUUGUAAUUUAAAAUUUUCCGGUAUCACAUUAAAGGAAGUAAAAUGAAACAGUCAUAAUUAAUUUUAUAAUGUUUUAUUCAAUCCAAUAUAUCAAAAAUAUUAUCACUUCAACAAAUAAUCAAUGUAGAGAAUUAUUAAUGAGAUAUUUUACCUUUUUUUCCAUGCUAAGUCUGUGAAAUCAGGUGUGUGGACCUUACACCUACCACAUGUCUCCAUCUGUCCAGCUCCUCUCAAGCCCUCAGUAGCCACAUGUGCGCAGUGACUACCACAGGGGACAGUGCAGGCAGCCCUAGAGCUUACUAUUUUUGUUUGUAAUUUAAUAUUUCUUUCAGCCAUGGUUUAUUUUACCUGUUAUAUAGGGGGGCUUUUUUUCUAGAUCUCUGAAUAUGUUUAAUCAUUUGGAGAAACAUUUUUCAGGUCAAUUUUUUAGGCCUUGAUUUUUUCUACUUCAUUUAUUUAAAAAUGCCUAGCAAAGACCUGUGGUUCACUUUUUGCCAAAUGUAUUAUUUGACCAUUGUACAACUUCAGGGCCAAGUCUCGAAACAAAUAUAUCAGACAACGCAUAUUCAGGAUUUAAUCUCAGGAUAGUCUGGUUUAAAACAUAUUCCAGAAAUACUCUGUGUUCACAAGCGGAAAUCAUCUACAUUAUUUAACGGUCCGAGCAAUAGCUUACUAAGACAGCCUGCUGUCUUGGAAGAGGUACCAAUGCGGCUAAUAAAAUAUUUACUCUACAGAAUGGCUCAAUUGGAAGAACUACUUUAUCAAUGUUUUUAAUCUUUUCUGCAUCACAGCUUACUUAUCUGUAGAAUAGGGAUAAUUUAGUACCCACCUCAUAGGAAUUUUGUAAUGAUCAACUAGUUAAUACCUAAAACCCCUUAGAAC